AUUCCAUGAUGGGGACACUGCAUCAAUAGAUCUUUAAACCUUUCAGAAAGCAUCAAAUAAAGAUUCAUCUUCCCCUUGCCUAAAAGAAGUAAUUUCAUUCCUCAUUUU